AAUUCAUGCUGUGGGCACUUCCGCAAAAGAUCCAUAAAUCGCUCCCAUGUCUCAGUCAAGGACUCGAGCUCCAUCUGAACAAACAACGAUAUCUCAUUAUGAAGCU